AUUCUAUUAGUUUAUAAAAUAUCUACUUUGGAUGUAGAAGAAACUCAAAUUAAUA
rnacentral:tRNA from 1 species